UGGUAGUUUCUGAAAACUUCUGGUUUGCCAGAGGUUGUUAAUCAGAGGUUGUUAAUCAGAGGUUAAGAAGGUUGCCAUUUCCAUGUCAUAGCUAAUGCGGAUGGAUAGGAUAGCUAAUCAAUUUGCAGUUCAUGUGGAAUAUACAUUUAUAGAAUGCACUAAUUUUAAUUUAACGUAAAAAUCAUGACUGUAGCAUAAAACCCCUGAAUAAUGAAUGUCCUCCUGUUUUCUUUUUAACCUGUUAAUGUCACAAGCAAAAUCAGUUUGUUUUGUUGUUUUUUUUAAUAAUAUUCCAAAUCGUUUUAUUUUGGUAGACUGAUUUUAGGAAUAAAAUCUUCCCAGUGUUUUGUCAAUAAAUCUAACACUUGCUGAGACAAUCAAUGUGAACCCGAGUUCCAUUUGUACUCGUAAAUAUAUAUUUUGUGCUAUGUUUAGUGUAUGAAAAUGUUUGUAAGCUACAUCUGUAACUCAGCCACAUAUGUUUUAUAAAUCAGUCACUUGGGGAAUGUAUGUGUAUUUUUUGAAUGUUUCCAUAGACAUUUGUGUGUGUGUGUGUGUGUGUGUGUGUAUUUACACACAUAGACGAUGCCUGGGCAAAUAUGACUUAGGUUUUCCAGUUUGGAAGGAUUAAUUCAUUCUAAAGUAUUUUCAUAAAUAGAAGAGAUGACAAAAGGAAUGUUAAAUAUCUAUACUUAACUAAUCUUUGGAAUAAUAUAGUGGUCUAGAGGGGUGAUUCAUUGGUUUGUAAGGUUUUCAGUCAUGCAGGAUAAUUUAGUGCUGCUUUUGGAUGUUCGUAAUCAUGUCUCAUUUAUCUUGUUGAACAAUAUUCACAAUACUAUACCUGGCCCUCGCACAAAUAAGCUAAUAGCAUGAUUUAGUUAUUACCUAAAUUAUUUCAUUGCAUAAUUUAUGCGUAUAGACCAAGCACCGUUAUUUGAAUGAGUACCACCCAAUAAAAUGAAAUGGCUGGUGUUUUUAGCUUUUAACAUUGUGUUUAAUGUUAUUGUGUAGUGCCGGUAUACUUAAUUAACCUGCCAGACAUUAUUUAAAAAAAAACAAAAAAAAAAGCACUAUUUUUAUGCCAAAAGCUGUGCAUAAUCUUUACUGCCUUUAAGCCCGUAGUUAGGGUCAUGGGAUUUAAACACCUUUUGAACAGUUUUAUGGGUACAGAUUUAUUACACCUGAUGCUGUCAAAUAGGCUACUAAUAUUUAAUUGUGUUGUUGACUUGUUCUGUGCUUUGUGCCCAUAAUUCCAGGGCCCAUACGAAGCAUCUUUUUUGCAACUUGGAGUCGAGAUAUUUAAGCAAAACACAGCACUAUAUUUAGCAGCUUGACAACGAUGGGCUUCAUUAACUUGCAUUGCUCAAGCUUCCUCCCACUUUUGAAGUUGGAGGCUUAAAUAAAUAUCCAUGGUAAAUAUGCAAAACUAGAUCAUGGUAAAGUAAAAUAUAGAUAAUUUCCUUAAAUAUUUGAUCUAUAACCACAGAAAACUGAAAUGGACAAAACUUAAACUAUAUGCCUUCCGCUCUACCAAAAAUAAAGGUCUGUAGAUAUUUAUUUGCAUGCAAACACUCAUUUAUACAUUAAUGUUGUUUGGGGGUGUUUCCAUGCACACUUGUUGCUUAUGUUAUUAGUAUGGUACAUUUUGAGUGCAAUAUUUUUUUCUUUUUCUUUUUAAGCAAGCCAAAGGUAAUCUUAAUUAUGUAGCACUCUAAAUGAACAUUGAUGAAUUUUCUAAUUGAAUUAUUGGUAAAUAGAAAUACUGUUGGUGUUUAAUAAAAUUUAAACUUGUUUUGACUCAUUUGAUGCAUAAAUAGACAUUUAAUAAACUUUAAUAAUCAUUGUGUGUAUAUUCCAAGUUAAUAAAGUACUUAAAAUGUUA